rnacentral:siRNA from 1 species
GGCAGCUCGCCUUGCAGAAGCGC